CAAGCCCAGACAACAGCAGCACGUCCAGCUGGGCUUCGUCUCCUCCAGCUCCGCACAGAUGUUUGGUAUUCCUCUUGUUCCUGCACGGCUAGCGUCCCCCCCAUCCCCAAAUUUUGCCCUUGGAAGCUCAGCACCUCCACAGCUGAACCAACACAACCCAUUGCUCUUGGUCGCCCGCGGCCACCCAGCGAUGCCUCUGGGUGCUCGCCUGCAUGUUGCACCCCAGCUUUCCCCUCCGGCCAAAGUAGUCCCUACCUGGCUUUGCACCUCCUCGAGACAGGCAGGCGAACGCUGGAAAAACAUCUUGCACCACCUCUGGUUUCACGUCUGGGCUUUGCUACGUUUUGAGAUACGCGGAAGUGGGAAAUGCCUUUCAAUGCUUCUCAGUGCAGUUGUGGUCCUGUUCCCAACCAGGCACAAUGCGAGAAGUGAAAUCAGCCUUCAGUGUGGUAUGGAUGGCCCCAGGAUAUGUCUGAGGCAACUUUAUUGUCUGGGUACAGUUCAUCAUGUUAAUAACUGGAAGCAUGUAUGCAGAUAGCAAAAA